GAUGAGUGUACCUUCGAUUCGAUUGUCUCUACAGCGACUGUUGAAAGAGGGACUGCACACUGAACUGAUCAUCAAAAUGGUCCGAAAGGGAAAUGCAGUGAUAGCUUUGGCAAUAUGGCUGCUUACAGUGGCUGCAUGUGUCGUCGCUUGCGCAGCUGCUCGACUGCAAACUUCUGAGCAGACAGUUCAUCCUCAAGGUUGUCGAUGCUGCACUUUCGAGUGGCAGCCCCUGAUACGCUGCAUAAGAGUUUGUUGCGGAGAUGAUUGUUGCUAGGGCACUUCUCAUCAAUCCCAACCAUCAUCAUGGAUAUGAUUUACCAAGAGUUCUACCAGAAGAAAUAAGCCAAGCUUGUUCAGACGGUGUUUUUAAGAAACAUCUACGAACAAAUGUAAUAAAAUUCUGGGAACUCCUUAAUAUAUGCUCCAGCAACUGAGUUAGUAAAACC